rnacentral:rRNA from 1 species
UACUCCUACGGGAGGCAGCAGUGGGGAAUAUUGGACAAUGGGCGCAAGCCUGAUCCAGCCAUACCGCGUGGGUGAAGAAGGCCUUCGGGUUGUAAAGCCCUUUUGUUGGGAAAGAAAUCCAGCUGGUUAAUACCCGGUUGGGAUGACGGUACCCAAAGAAUAAGCACCGGCUAACUUCGUGCCAGCAGCCGCGGUAAUACGAAGGGUGCAAGCGUUACCCGGAAUUACUGGGCGUAAAGCGUGCGUAGGUGGUCGUUUAAGUCCGUUGUGAAAGCCCUGGGCUCAACCUGGGAACUGCAGUGGAUACUGGACGACUAGAGUGUGGUAGAGGGUAGCGGAAUUCCUGGUGUAGCAGUGAAAUGCGUAGAGAUCAGGAGGAACAUCCAUGGCGAAGGCAGCUACCUGGACCAACACUGACACUGAGGCACGAAAGCGUGGGGAGCAAACAGGAUUAGAUACCCUGGUAGUCCACGCCCUAAACGAUGCGAACUGGAUGUUGGGUGCAAUUUGGCACGCAGUAUCGAAGCUAACGCGUUAAGUUCGCCGCCUGGGGAGUACGGUCGCAAGACUGAAACUCAAAGGAAUUGACGGA